GACGAACGCUGGCGGCGUGCCUAAUACAUGCAAGUCGAACGCUUUGAUUUUCACCGGAGCUUGCUCCACCGAAAAUCAAAGAGUGGCGGACGGGUGAGUAACACGUGGGCAACCUGCCCAACAGAGGGGGAUAACACUUGGAAACAGGUGCUAAUACCGCAUAAUUUGUUUUUCCGCAUGGAAGAAUAAUAAAAGACGCUUCGGUGUCACUGUUGGAUGGGCCCGCGCUGCAUUAGUUAGUUGGUGGGGUAACGGCCUACCAAGACCAUGAUGCAUAGCCGACCUGAGAGGGUGAUCGGCCACACUGGGACUGAGACACGGCCCAGACUCCUACGGGAGGCAGCAGUAGGGAAUCUUCGGCAAUGGACGAAAGUCUGACCGAGCAACGCCGCGUGAGUGAAGAAGGUUUUCGGAUCGUAAAACUCUGUUGUUAGAGAAGAACAAGUGAGAGAGUUACUGUUCUCACCUUGACGGUAUCUAACCAGAAAGCCACGGCUAACUACGUGCCAGCAGCCGCGGUAAUACGUAGGUGGCAAGCGUUGUCCGGAUUUAUUGGGCGUAAAGCGAGCGCAGGCGGUUUCUUAAGUCUGAUGUGAAAGCCCUCGGCUCAACCGAGGAAGGUCAUUGGAAACUGGGGAACUUGAGUGCAGAAGAGGAGAGUGGAAUUCCAUGUGUAGCGGUGAAAUGCGUAGAUAUGUGGAGGAACACCAGUGGCGAAGGCGACUCUCUGGUCUGUAACUGACGCUGAGGCUCGAAAGCGUGGGGAGCAAACAGG
rnacentral:rRNA from 1 species